rnacentral:lncRNA from 1 species
CAGCUGGGGGUCGCCCCGCCCUCUGGGCUUCUCUCCGGGCCUCUGCCGGGAGCUCUGAAUGCUCAGCGUGGCCCCUCUGCUACCGGCAGACAGAGAGUUUUGUCUGCUGCCUGGCGGAGCUCCGGCGCUUCCCCUCCGGGUCGCCGGACCCGCCUUUGAAAGUUCCCCCGCCCCGGUCCUCUCCGAGAUCUCCGGCAAUCCCUAGUCCCACGGGGCGGGCAACGGCAGCUGGGGGACGCCCCGCCCUCUGGGCUUCUGUCCGAGCCUCUGCCGGGAGCCCUGAAUGCUGGGCGUGGCCCCUCUGCUACCGGCAGACAGAGAGUUUUGUCUGCUGCCUGGCGGAGCUCCGGCGCUUCCCCUCCGGGUCGCCGGACCCGCCUUUGAAAGUUCCCCCGCCCCGGACCUCUCCGAGAUCUCCGGCAAUCCCUAGUCCCACGGGGCGGGCAACGGCAGCUGGGGGACGCCCCGCCCUCUGGGCUUCUGUCCGAGCCUCUGCCGGGAGCCCUGAAUGCUGGGCGUGGCCCCUCUGCUAAUGGCAGACAGAGAGUUUUGUCUGCUGCCCGGGCGGAGCUCCGGCGCUUCUCCACCGGAUCGCCGGACCCGCCUUUGAAAGUUCCCCCGCCCCGGUCCUCUCCGAGAUCUCCGGCAAUCCCUAGUCCCACGGGGCGGGCAACAGCAGCUGGGGGUCGCCCCGCCCUCUGGGCUUCUCUCCGGGCCUCUGCCGGGAGCCCUGAGUGCUCAGCGUGGCCCCUCUGCUACCGGCAGACAGAGAGUUUUGUCUGCUGCCUGGGGGAGCUCCGGCACUUCCCCUCCGGGUCGCCGAUCCGGCCUUUGAAAGUUCCCCCGCCCCGGUCCUCUCCGAGAUCUCCGGCAAUCCCUAGUCCCACGGGGCGGGCAACGGCAGCUGGGGGUCGCCCGCCCUCUGGGCUUCUGUCCGGGCCUCUGCCGGGAGCCCUGAGUGCUCAGCGUGGCCCCUCUGCUACCGGCAGACAGAGAGUUUUGUCUGCUGCCUGGGGGAGCUCCGGCACUUCCCCUCCGGGUCGCCGAUCCGGCCUUUGAAAGUUCCCCCGCCCCGGUCCUCUCCGAGAUCUCCGGCAAUCCCUAUUCCACGGGGCGGGCAACGGCAGCUGGG